CUCUGUGGAUCAGUGGCGAACGGGUGAGUAACACGUGAGCAACCUGCCCUGGACUCUGGGAUAAGCGCUGGAAACGGCGUCUAAUACUGGAUAUGAGAUGCGAUCGCAUGGUCGUGUUUGGAAAGAUUUUUCGGUCUGGGAUGGGCUCGCGGCCUAUCAGCUUGUUGGUGAGGUAAUGGCUCACCAAGGCGUCGACGGGUAGCCGGCCUGAGAGGGUGACCGGCCACACUGGGACUGAGACACGGCCCAGACUCCUACGGGAGGCAGCAGUGGGGAAUAUUGCACAAUGGGCGAAAGCCUGAUGCAGCAACGCCGCGUGAGGGAUGACGGCCUUCGGGUUGUAAACCUCUUUUGGUAGGGAAGAAGCCUUCGGGUGACGGUACCUGCAGAAAAAGCGCCGGCUAACUACGUGCCAGCAGCCGCGGUAAUACGUAGGGCGCAAGCGUUAUCCGGAAUUAUUGGGCGUAAAGAGCUCGUAGGCGGUCUGUCGCGUCUGCUGUGAAAUCCCGAGGCUCAACCUCGGGCUUGCAGUGGGUACGGGCAGACUAGAGUGCGGUAGGGGAGAUUGGAAUUCCUGGUGUAGCGGUGGAAUGCGCAGAUAUCA
rnacentral:rRNA from 1 species